rnacentral:snRNA from 1 species
AUGGCUUCUCAGGCCUUUUGGCUAAGAUCAAGUGUAGUAUCUGUUCUUAUCAGUAAGAUGACUUUCACUGUCACUAAUGGAAUCACUGCUAUCUAUUGGCUCAAUGGAACUUUUUUCUUUUCAUGCAACUUUAACAAGGAACCAAAC